GGCGUAUUCAGGAUAACAAUAAGC
rnacentral:siRNA from 1 species